CGCGGUGUAGAGCAGUUGGUAGCUCGUCGGGCUCAUAACCCGGAGGUCGUUGGUUCAAAUCCUUCCGCCGCAA
rnacentral:tRNA from 1 species